GGAGGAAUCUCUGGAGAGAGCCGUACUACUUUGAUGUAGCAGUCGGCCGCCGAAGGAGCAAGCCCAAUUUUGGGUGAAACUCUCAGGCAAAAGGACAGAGGAGUGAAA
rnacentral:ncRNA from 2 species